UACAGAGGGUGCAAGCGUUAAUCGGAAUUACUGGGCGUAAAGCGUGCGUAGACGGUUAUGUAAGUCAGGUGUGAAAGCCCCGGGCUCAACCUGGGAAUGCCAUUUGAGACUGCAUAGCUAGGGUACGGAAGAGGGAAGCGGAAUUUCAGGUGUAGCGGUGAAAUGCGUAGAUAUCUGAAGGAACACCAGUGGCGAAAGCGGCUUCCUGGUCCAGUACCGACGUCAGGCACGAAAGCGUGGGGAGCAAACAGG
rnacentral:rRNA from 1 species